AGAGUUUGAUCAUGGCUCAGGACGAACGCUGGCGGCGUGCUUAACACAUGCAAGUCGAGCGGAAAGGCCACUUCGGUGGUACUCGAGCGGCGAACGGGUGAGUAACACGUGAGUAAUCUGCCCCUGGCUUUGGGAUAGCCACCGGAAACGGUGAUUAAUACCGGAUACGACCACUUCUCGCAUGGGAUGGUGGUGGAAAGUUUUUCGGCCAGGGAUGGUGCUCGCGGCCUAUCAGCUUGAUGGUGAGGUAAUGGCUCACCAUGGCUUCGACGGGUAGCCGGCCUGAGAGGGUGACCGGUCACACUGGGACUGAGACACGGCCCAGACUCCUACGGGAGGCUGCAGUGGGGAAUAUUGGACAAUGGGCGGAAGCCUGAUCCAGCAACGCCGCGUGAGGGAUGACGGCCUUCGGGUUGUAAACCUCUUUCAGUACCGACGAAGCGCAAGUGACGGUAGGUACAGAAGAAGCACCGGCCAACUACGUGCCAGCAGCCGCGGUAAUACGUAGGGUGCGAGCGUUGUCCGGAAUUAUUGGGCGUAAAGGGCUCGUAGGCGGUUUGUCGCGUCGGGAGUGAAAACCAGGUGCUUAACACCUGGCUUGCUUUCGAUACGGGCAGACUAGAGGUAUGCAGGGGAGAACGGAAUUCCUGGUGUAGCGGUGAAAUGCGCAGAUAUCAGGAGGAACACCGGUGGCGAAGGCGGUUCUCUGGGCAUGACCUGACGCUG
rnacentral:rRNA from 1 species